CUUGGGAAACGGAGAGCAAUGCAUCAUCGGACAUGUGCGUAGAAACAGUCGUGUGUGAACGUGCACGCCGGGGCCCGAGCUAGGGAAAUACUGGAGUGUGUGUGAGUGUGUGAGUGAGUGUGUUAAUAGGGUUGUUUUUACUCUAGCUAGCUGCCAGAUGGGUGAACCGUUCCCUCGCCGAACAAUACAAAGAGUGCAAAGCGAGGUUUCAAAGGUCACCGUGGGAAACUAUUUUGUCUAUAUUCACCCCCGGCGAACAGGCGACACGAGCAUGUGUGAAAACGGUUUACUCGAACGCCGAAUCUUCCACGCGUGCAGUUCACACACACGUGCUUGUGGGUCAGCCGUGGCCGCGUACGGCUGCAGUAAAAAUAAAGAGUGCGAGAGAGAGAGGAAAAAAAAGUAAAGGAACACACAGGCCGAGCUCGGAGUCGAGCCACCGGGUCCUGACUGGAAAUUCCCAAAGUGAACUUUCCACGGAGGGCGCGCGGCCAGGUAUUGGUGCUAACGACUACUGUGAAUCAUUGUCGGGAGUCACGGCUGCCAACGAUAUUGAACACGACCGCAGUUAAUUAAAAGUGCAAAGUGUCACACUUCUCGAGCGGCGAUAUAUCACCGUCUCGUUAGCGGCGCAACCGUGGUGAAGUUUCCAUGAACGGGGAGGAGAUUUGUCUGCUUUUUUUUUACAUGGCGGCGGCAGUGCCAGCGUUUCCGAAAAAAGGAAGACUGAAUUCCCCAUUAAACCCCGGUGACUCGGCAUGAGUCGGUCCAUUUUCUGAAGGAGCUGCGCUUGCUUUUGGUCUCUUUUGUUUUUUUCAAGUCGAGUUCUUUUGAUUUACGAAGAAAUGCUAAUUCACGCCGAUAAAUGUCUCUGAUUUCAAUAUUAAAAAGGAACAAUUCAACUGAUUAGCGAUACACGAGGCACUUUUACAAUUACCCAUGCUUCACAAUGAGGCUGAAGUUUGUCCCGAGUGCAAAGGCCAUGAGUCAGCAUUAGCGUGCUCGUUAGCCGUGUUCCCAUUCAUGUCGUUUCAAUGCUCAUUUGGUCAGCAUUGGAAACGGCGACAUCUUUACUUCCUCAAUUCACUUGAUCGCUCCGAUUAAAAAAUUUCCCUAAAAAUGAAAUGUCUGCAGCAGUAAGCAAACCCGUCCUUUGUGCUCAUCCCUGUGUGUAGAGAGCCAUGGAAGGAAUAAUGAACAGACGGGACGGGGAGGGAGGAGAGUUGGGUAUAUCGUCCACACCAAUUAAACUGAUCUGUAACUGUCGACUGCGGUUCAACUGUAUCGCGUGUUCCUUGAAGAGAUGUCGAAAAUGAACAGGACAAGUCGAUCUGACCCAGAUCGCCGCUUUAGAGAACAGAACAUCACAUCCGGAUUAUUUAUUUUACUGGUGCUCUCCUCCCUUAAAAUAAAACCCUCACGAGCAAGAGAAGGGAUCUCUAUCUUUGCCUCGUCUCGAGAAAUACAUAAAGUGCACACAAACGGCUGCGGACGCACUUCGUCUUCUCAUUAUGUCGCCGCGGAAACGAACCUCCUCCAGUAAGAAAGCAACUCUAACCAGAGAUACGCUCGCAGAAACUAUAGCCAGAAACUAUAAAGCGACUCCAUCCCCACCCUGUCUCGUUGAGCUAUAUCGGUUCCUGUAAAACACGCUCGACACGACGGCGACGUGGCGCUUUAUCUGCACGAGAUAUUUAGAUUUGGUGCGUUUCCACGGAGAGUAUUUAUCACCGAGGAGGCCGAGGCCGUCGCGGACCAGAGAGGUGAGAGUGUGUGCGGUUAUAUGCGUCCCACUAGGGCACGAUUAGGAAGCAACUAUUGUUUUUAUUGGUGCGCUGCUGAAUGUAGGCCAAGUUCCUGGGUUUAUGGGACCCCUCCAACCCGCACACACUGUCGGCAUCCCUCCGACACCCCCCCCCCCCCAAGGAUGGCUCCGCUUAAACGCAAGACUGACCAUAACAAUCCACAGCUGUUUGAGCCUGUGGGCCCAAAACAAUGUGAUGCGCUCACAUGACCCCCUGGCAACACACACACACACACACAUGGACAUGUAGAACUGCAUGGAAAUAUACUAUAGAAACACACACAGGGCAUACAGAAGCAGAGUAGUUAGUGAGGAUGCUAUAAUGAGCUGUGCAGCUUCAUGAAUAUGAUUGGAUGUUACUCGUCAGCUGGUAGCCAAGCAGCUGGAAUCUACCGCUCCACUCGCAAUAUUCCUUAGUUUUUAUUUACCUAAAAUAUCAACUUACAUGAGAUUUUCUUCUAAGUCUUGGAUCGGAUUCUGGCGACCGGUCAUAUCACUUUACUGAGGCCAAAUAUUAUUUUGAUGAUAUCGAACACACACGUUUCAUCUCUGUUUGUGUCCGGUGCUGUCACAUUAAAUGAGAAGCUUGACUUUUAUGACCUCGGGUUCUGCAGCAGUCGGUUUAAGGUCGGAGGUCGGAGGCCUCCAGCGCCGCCGCGGUCGCCUGUUUUCAUGCUUGACUUUUACGGCGGGGCUUAUUGGAUUGUCCUGACACCGUCACUGGGCCAUGUGGUCUGUCCGCCACCAGGCCGGGGUGGAAUGGUAACUGGGGAAAUAAAUUCCUUGUGCUUGUUUUUAGACGUGCUUGUGAGAAGCAGAUGGGUGGGGUUUGCCACAUUCAGUUGUUAAACGAAGCUCCGCAUACUUUUCUUCGGCUAUCACAGCUUCCCGGGACGCUUCGCUUUUUCCGACAUAGCAACACCCAAAAGUACACAAACAUAUCACUGUCUGGUGUGCAUUCAGUACAUUUCAAAAACCUGGGAGACAUUGGACAAGAAGUGGACGCGGUCACCGUGACGUCACCGAUUGUGACGUUUUGAAUCCUCGAUUUGGGCUUUUUGGUGGCCGCCAUCUUGUUGUUGUUUUUUCAACCCGAGUACAAAAUGAUAAUGCUUCAUGUUUAGGAGCUGAAAACACACAGUGAAAGGUUUAAAGUUGCAAAAGGAACCCACGGACAGCUCCCGGAACCAUCAAUUACCAAAUGACCAUAAACUCAUGUUUGCAAUGUCUUAGUGAGGGAAUAAAUCAAGUGAGAAAUAGUGUCAUUUUCACAGUCUGACAACCAGAGGAGUCGCCCCCUGAUGGCCAUUAGAUAGAAUGGAUGAAGGCAUGAAAGGAAGAAGCAUAAUUAUGACUUUUCGUGGACGACUGAUUCUGUGUUGCAGUUCCCACAAGUCACCAAUAGAGGCUGAUAUGAUAAUAAUUGACUCAUCAUAUCAGUGUUUUUAUAUGUUUAAUAAACGUGUUUUCAGCUAAAUAAAUAUCUUUUUUUUAAACUGUUUUUUAAACUUGUCUAACACGUGAAACCGCGACACAAAUUGACAAUCUUCCCUUCCAGAGCAUCCCGUCUGGUCCAGAAAUUAAAUGUACUGUACCAAGACGAGGAUUAUAGCUGCGAGGCCUUUUUUUUUCUUCUCGCCGCGCUCGCAGUGAUAACAUCAGAGUCUUGAUUAUCAUCACUUGUAAAGAUGCCACUCUGACGUCUAAGGAAGGCAAUUAACUGGGAGAAGAGGAACUGAACAUCCCAUCCUAUCAGUCUCUAUUAGCAUCAGCGCUGGAGAAUGUUGGGACCAUGUCUGAGGUAGUGGAGCUUUCCUAAAUCCCUCUGGCUCCGGUCUGCGUGGGCCUGCUGCGAAUUAAAAGGACUAUGGUGCAUCCUGCCGUUUGACGCUUAAAAAACAAAAUGUUAUCGACACCGAGGGAAGCCUGUGAUCACCACAUAACACGUCAACACCUGACCGGAGUGGACCGACAUGCAAGUCUCUUAGGACCCUUGACAACUGCUUCCUAGAAACCAGGAAGGAGAGGCUCACUGCCCACAGAUCUCCGGAAACACCUGCGAUACAUCAAACCUGCAGACUGCUGGAUGGACCAAGGGACUUGAAGGCCUCCAGGAGACCAGAACUGGAGCGCAUGGAACCAACACCUGGGACUCAAAUCAACUAGUAAUUGUAACACCCUGUUCAUGUUCAGCGUUUCGCAAUUCAAAGUACAUGAGUACAGACUUGUGUUCUUUUGGAGUCUGGACUUGGGAGUCCAGACUCCGGAGGACGGGAGAACGGGAGGAUGGUCUUUCUGGUCUUUCUGCGAUUGGACCAGCAGCUGACUUGAUGACGUCACCACAUCAGCUGUUCUUGCUCCUGGGUUUACUCUAAUUAUUCACUGUAAAUUAUUUUUUACAGUCAAAUAAACAAAACAUCCUAAAAUUACAUUCCGUGACUCAACAAGAGUAGUAUUUAUAAAAAGUCAACUGUCAGUAGUUUAUUUUCUCCUCAGCUACUGUUUCCGGUUGCUGGUGAAAUGCAUUCUGGGAUAUCGGCUGGCCAGAGUACGCACAAGUCUCCUCUGAUGCAUCCUCCGGAAAGUGGGAGGAUCAAGUCACAUCCGGGCAUUUUGACCGUGCUUUGCGAGACGCGGACUUUGAAUUGGAACAUGUACUCGGGCUGAGACUGAUGACGUUUCACGAGUCACGAGAACACAAGUAGAGGAAAGUACGCACAAGUACGCAUAUUGAGAAACGCCGGUAGUGUCUGUCUCCCCAGGAAUUGGUCAUUCCCAUCACCUGCCCUCAGCUUCUCCUGAUUGUGUCAUUCCCGUCACCUGCCCCAGCCACUCCCGUCUCGCUGAUCCCUGAUGUCCCACACCUGUGUUUCCCCACCUUAUAUAUUCUCCCAGUCUUUGCUUUGUUCUCUGCCAGAUUGUUGUGUGUUUUGCCCCUCGUCUCAAUUCGCUCAUGACCAGUCUGGUUUUAAGUAAAAACAUUUGUUC